rnacentral:rRNA from 1 species
GAUGAACGCUGGCGGCGUGCCUAAUACAUGCAAGUCGAGCGAACGGACGAGAAGCUUGCUUCUCUGAUGUUAGCGGCGGACGGGUGAGUAACACGUGGAUAACCUACCUAUAAGACUGGGAUAACUUCGGGAAACCGGAGCUAAUACCGAAUGAUAUUUUGAACCGCAUGGUUCAAAAGUGAAAGACGGUCUUGCUGUCACUUAUAGAUGGAUCCGCGCUGCAUUAGCUAGUUGGUAAGGUAACGGCUUACCAAGGCAACGAUGCAUAGCCGACCUGAGAGGGUGAUCGGCCACACUGGAACUGAGACACGGUCCAGACUCCUGCGGGAGGCAGCAGUAGGGAAUCUUCCGCAAUGGGCGAAAGCCUGACGGAGCAACGCCGCGUGAGUGAUGAAGGUCUUCGGAUCGUAAAACUCUGUUAUUAGGGAAGAACAUAUGUGUAAGUAACUGUGCACAUCUUGACGGUACCUAAUCAGAAAGCCACGGCUAACUACGUG